CCAUCGUUUUCAAGUAGAGGAGGUCGAGAGGGCAUUAGCCUUAUACUUGAGAGUUAAGAUACAGCCAUAAAAUUGAGUGGCAUGUUUACUGCUAGAGGUCUUGGGAGAAUUAGGCCACAGCGCAAGAGAAGUUCAAUAUACUGCACAAACAAGUUUGCUAGAGGGCUGCAGUCUUUCAAAUUUGGAACAUAUCGACUUAGGAAAGUGAUCGAUUUGAUUUACAUCGGGACAACAACACAUUCUGCAGCUGCGAUUCUUGGCUUUUCAGGUCUCUGACAAGACCCAAAAGCUUCCAAGUUGCUCUAGAAGAGAAGCAGAGUGUCCUAGUAGAAGGAGCAUGGACUGGGGAGUCAGAGGACCUGAGUUUAAUCCUGGC